GCCACGUCUAGCCCGACGGGGUGAAAGGCCGGAUUCCUUCACCGGCUUGGCGUGGCCCUUUCUUGAGAAGC
rfam:Hydrocarboniphaga effusa AP103 245_1, whole genome shotgun sequence.